rnacentral:rRNA from 1 species
GGACCCGCACAAGCAGCGGAGCAUGUGGUUUAAUUCGAAGCAACGCGAAGAACCUUACCAGGACUUGACAUCCUUCUGACAGGGCCUUAAACGGCCCCUCCUUCGGGCAGAAGUGACAGGUGGUGCAUGGUUGUCGUCAGCUCGUGUCGUGAGAUGUUGGGUUAAGUCCCGCAACGAGCGCAACCCUUGUCUCUAGUUGCCAUCAUUCAGUUGGGCACUCUAGAGAGACUGCCGGGGAUAACUCGGAGGAAGGUGGGGAUGACGUCAAAUCAUCAUGCCCCUUAUGUUCUGGGCUACACACGUGCUACAAUGGCCGGUACAAAGAGACGCAAGACCGCGAGGUGGAGCAAAUCUCAAAAACCGGCCCCAGUUCGGACUGCAGGCUGAAACCCGCCUGCACGAAGCCGGAGUUGCUAGUAAUCGUGAAUCAGCAUGUCACGGUGAAUGCGUUCCCGGGUCUU